AGAGUUUGAUCAUGGCUCAGGACGAACGCUGGCGGCGCGCUUAAUACAUGCAAGUCGAACGAGAAGCCAGAGCUUGCUCUGGUGGAAAGUGGCGAACGGGUGAGUAACACGUGAGAAACCUGCCCCAAAGAUUGGGAUAAGCCUUGGAAACGAGGUCUAAUACCAAAUACCUUCUUUUAACACAUGUUAAAAGAAGAAAUGCUCCGGCGCUUUGGGAUGGUCUCGCGAUCUAUCAGCUUGUUGGUGAGGUAACGGCUCACCAAGGCAUCGACGGAUAGCUGGUCUGAGAGGAUGUCCAGCCACAUUGGAACUGAGACACGGUCCAAACUCCUACGGGAGGCAGCAGUAGGGAAUCUUGCACAAUGAGGGAAACCUUGAUGCAGCGACGCCGCGUGCGGGACGAAGGCCCUAGGGUUGUAAACCGCUUUCAGUAGGGACGAAAGUGACGGUACCUACAGAAGAAGCCCCGGCCAACUAUGUG
rnacentral:rRNA from 1 species